GGGCUCGUAGCUCAGUGGUCAGAGCAGGGGACUCAUAAUCCUUAGGCCGAAGGUUCGAUUCCUUCCGGGCCCA
rnacentral:tRNA from 1 species